rnacentral:rRNA from 1 species
UAUCUCUGUAGAGUCUGCAUAUCAAUAAGCGGAGGAAAAGAAACUAACUAGGAUUCCCUCAGUAACGGCGAGUGAAGCGGGAAGAGCUCAAAUUUGAAAUCUUCAAGGUUCUACCUUGACGAAUUGUAGUUUAAAGAAGUGUUUUCUGUUGAAGUUUUGGUAAAAGUUCUUUGGAAUAGGACAUCAUAGAGGGUGAGAAUCCCGUAUUUGACCAUUAUUUUCAGCUGUGUGAUACACUUUCAAAGAGUCGGAUUGUUUGGGAAUGCAGUCCAAAAUGGGUGGUAAAUUUCAUCUAAAGCUAAAUACUGGCGAGAGACCGAUAGCGAACAAGUACCGUGAGGGAAAGAUGAAGAGAACUUUGAAAAGAGAGUUAAACAGUACGUGAAAUUGUCAAAAGGGAAGCGUUUGACACCAGUGUUGUUUCGUCGAAAAUCAAUUAAUAAUUCUUGAUUUUAAGUUAGUAUUGACUUUAUCAGCUUUCUGCACUUUUUUCCUGUCUUUUUUAAUGCACUUUUCGUUUAACAAGUCAACAUCAAUUUCUUUUGUUGUAAAAGGGUCAUUGGAAGGUGGCUUUCUUUUCGGAGAAAGUGUUUAUAGCCUUUGACUUCUGCAAUCGGAGAGAUUGAGGUCUGCAGCGUAGAUCCUUCGGGGUUAGAUGCAUUUGUGCUAAGUUAUAGUUUUUCAUAGACAACAUGUUGACUAUGAUUAAUCAUGUAGCUUACUCGCUUAUGCUAUUUUACCUACGCUUAGGAUGUUGAGUAGCGACAUACGCAC